rnacentral:rRNA from 1 species
AGCGAACGCUGGCGGCAGGCCUAACACAUGCCAGUCGAACGAACCUUUCGGGGCUAGUUGCGGAAGUGUGAGUAACAAGUGGGAACGUGCCCUUAGGUUCGGUAUCAUUCAGGGAGACAUGUGCUAAUACCGCUUGUGCCCUUCCGGGGUAUGAUUUAUCGCCUUUUGAGCGGCGCGCGUCUGAUUAGCUAGUUGGGUGAGGUAAUGGCUCACCCAGGCGACGAUCAGUAGCUGGUCUGAGAGGAUGAUCAGCCACGUUGGGACUGAGACACGGACCACACUCCGACGGGAGGGAGCAGUGGAGAAUCUUACGGAAGGGACGAAGGUCUGACGCAGCCAUGCCGCGGGUAUGAUGAAGGUCUUAGGAUUGCAAAAUUCUUUCGCCCGGGACGUUAGUGACGGUACCCGGAGAAGAAGCCCCGGCUAACUUCGUG